UACGUAGGUGGCGAGCGUUGUCCGGAUUUACUGGGCGUAAAGAGCGCGCAGGCGGUCGUUCAAGUCGCGUGUGAAAGCCCCCGGCUCAACUGGGGAGGGUCACGCGAUACUGAUCGACUCGAAGGCAGGAGAGGGAAGUGGAAUUCCCGGUGUAGUGGUGAAAUGCGUAGAUAUCUGGAGGAACACCGGUGGCGAAGGCGCCCACCUGGCCUGCUACUGACGCUGAAGCUCGAAAGCUAGGGGAGCAAACGGG
rnacentral:rRNA from 1 species